rnacentral:lncRNA from 1 species
UGCAAAGGUCCUUAACAGAACUAAUAGGACAGUAGAGAAUGAAUGACAUGCUGCAUUUGCUCCAGAACUGGAUAUUACACUGCCUCUGCAAAAAAACGAGAGUGUGCAGACCACAUAUCGUCAAGAUAUAUCUCAUCGGCAAGAUAAGGUCAACAAGGCAGCGAGACCUCUUGGACAGAUGCAUCACCAUCUCCAAAAUCC